AUGGUGACAUGUCCGCAAAAAGAAGUGCGUGGCAAAUCCUUAGGCCAACGUACCAGGAAGCAUCUUAGGCUAAUUCGAAGGAUAAGUGUGCAAUAUGUCGCAAAGUCCAAUAUUCAGACGGAAUUCGCAUUAGUAAAGAUGAUGGAUAUAAGAGGAGAAAGAUAAU
rnacentral:ncRNA from 1 species